rnacentral:rRNA from 1 species
AGUCUGAUCCUGGCUCAGAUUGAACGCUGGGCGGCAGGCCUAACACAUGCAAGUCGAGCGGAAACAGGAAAGUAGCUUGCUACUUUUGCUGUCGAGCGGCGGACGGGUGAGUAAUACCUAGGUAUCUGCCCAGUCGUGGGGGAUAACAGUUGGAAACGACUGCUAAUACCGCAUACGCCCUACGGGGGAAAGGUAAAGGGGGCUUAGGCUCUUGCUUUAGGAUGAACCCAAGUGGGAUUAGCUAGUUGGUGAGGUAAUGGCUCACCAAGGCGACGAUCCCUAGCUGGUCUGAGAGGAUGAUCAGCCACACUGGAACUGAGACACGGUCCAGACUCCUACGGGAGGCAGCAGUGGGGAAUAUUGCACAAUGGGCGAAAGCCUGAUGCAGCCAUGCCGCGUGUGUGAAGAAGGCCUUAGGGUUGUAAAGCACUUUCAGUCAGGAGGAAAGGUUAGUAGUUAAUACCUGCUAGCUGUGACGUUACUGACAGAAGAAGCACCGGCUAACUUCGUGCCAGCAGCCGCGGUAAUACGAGGGGUGCAAGCGUUAAUCGGAAUUACUGGGCGUAAAGCGAGCGUAGGCGGCUGAAUAAGCUGGAUGUGAAAAACCGGGGCUCAACCUCGGCCGUGCAUUCAGAACUGUUUAGCUAGAGUCUUGUAGAGGGGGGUAGAAUUUCAGGUGUAGCGGUGAAAUGCGUAGAGAUCUGAAGGAAUACCAGUGGCGAAGGCGGCCCCCUGGACAAUGACUGACGCUGAGGUUCGAAAGCGUGGGUAGCGAACAGGAUUAGAUACCCUGGUAGUCCACGCCGUAAACGAUGUCUACUUGUUGUUUGUAUCCUUGUGAUGUGAGUGACGAAGCUAACGCGGUAAGUAGACCGCCUGGGGAGUACGGCCGCAAGGUUAAAACUCAAAUGAAUUGACGGGGGCCCGCACAAGCGGUGGAGCAUGUGGUUUAAUUCGAUGCAACGCGAAGAACCUUACCAUCCCUUGACAUCCAGAGAAGAUAGCAGAGAUGCUUUUGUGCCUUCGGGAACUCUGAGACAGGUGCUGCAUGGCUGUCGUCAGCUCGUGUUGUGAAAUGUUGGGUUAAGUCCCGCAACGAGCGCAACCCCUAUCCUUAGUUGCCAGCACGUAAUGGUGGGAACUCUAAGGAGACUGCCGGUGACAAACCGGAGGAAGGUGGGGACGACGUCAAGUCAUCAUGGCCCUUACGAGUAGGGCUACACACGUGCUACAAUGGUGAGUACAGAGGGAAGCGAACUUGCGAGAGUAAGCGGAUCCCUUAAAAGCUUGUCGUAGUCCGGAUUGGAGUCUGCAACUCGACUCCAUGAAGUCGGAAUCGCUAGUAAUCGUAGAUCAGAAUGCUACGGUGAAUACGUUCCCGGGCCUUGUACAGCACACCGUCCCGAUCACACCCAUGGGAGUGGGUUGCACAUAGAAGUAGAUAGCUUAACCUUCGGGAGGGCGUUUACCACGGUGUGAUUCAUGACUGGGGUGAA